rnacentral:lncRNA from 1 species
ACACACAAACAUAAAUAAAUAAAUAAAUAGAGUCCUAGUUGGACACAUUAUGAUUCUCAAAACUCCUCCUCAAUGCAUAUCCAUACAAUGCUAAGUUUACCGCAUAAAUCUUCAAACCACUCGUCUGCUAAUCUUUUGACGAAGAUAUCCACUAACUAGUCUUUUAUUGAAAUUGAAAGUAAAUCAACCUCUUCAACUGUAAUUUUUUUUCUAGUAAAAUGAUGAUGAACCUCAAUAUGCUCCUUGCAUGAAAUACUGAAUUCUU